rnacentral:rRNA from 1 species
CCCUUAGGUGUUCUGGGCUGCACGCGCGCUACACUGUCGGAUUCAGCGAGUCAUAUCCUUAACCGAAAGGUUUGGGUAAUCUUUUGAAAGUCCGACGUGAUGGGGAUUGAUCAUUGCAAUUAUUGAUCAUGAACGAGGAAUUCCUAGUAAGCGCGAGUCAUCAGCUCGCGUUGAUUACGUCCCUGCCCUUUGUACACACCGCCCGUCGCUACUACCGAUUGAAUGGUUUAGUGAGAUCUUCGGAUUGGCGCCUACGCGGCUUCUCUGAGGCCACGCUGGAUGCCGAAAAGUUGCUCAAACUGUAUCAUUUAGAGGAAGUAAAAGUCGUAACA